rnacentral:rRNA from 1 species
AUCAUGAGUUCACAUGUCCGCAUGAUUAAAGGUAUUUUCCGGUAGACGAUGGGGAUGCGUCCCAUUAGAUAGUAGGCGGGGUAACGGCCCACCUAGUCAACGAUGGAUAGGGGUUCUGAGAGGAAGGUCCCCCACAUUGGAACUGAGACACGGUCCAAACUCCUACGGGAGGCAGCAGUGAGGAAUAUUGGUCAAUGGGCGAUGGCCUGAACCAGCCAAGUAGCGUGAAGGAUGACUGCCCUAUGGGUUGUAAACUUCUUUUAUAAAGGAAUAAAGUCGGGUAUGCAUACCCGUUUGCAUGUACUUUAUGAAUAAGGAUCGGCUAACUCCGUGCCAGCAGCCGCGGUAAUACGGAGGAUCCGAGCGUUAUCCGGAUUUAUUGGGUUUAAAGGGAGCGUAGAUGGAUGUUUAAGUCAGUUGUGAAAGUUUGCGGCUCAACCGUAAAAUUGCAGUUGAUACUGGAUGUCUUGAGUGCAGUUGAGGCAGGCGGAAUUCGUGGUGUAGCGGUGAAAUGCUUAGAUAUCACGAAGAACUCCGAUUG